UCCAAAGUAGCACAAUGAGCAAGCCAGUGGACACAAAUCCACCCCCACCCUCCCCCGGCAGGAUAUGAAAGAGGCAGGAACAUAUUGGAUGUGGCGCACAUAAUGAAAGCUGGCAUUCAGUUGCAUUAUGGGUAGCGUGCAGUGUUUUUCUGACCUGUACUCAGCAGCACAAGACAGGAUGUCUGAGUCCCUGCUGCAGCAGCGUGGAAUGUCGCUGCCAUGGUGGCAAGGCUCACCUCGCUGUGGAGCAGUUCUCGUCGGCGGCCCUGCGGCUCAGCUGGGAGGGGACCAAAGAGAGAGAAUAAUGAGCACAUUGUUCGACUCUACUAACGGAACAGUCCAUACCAUCAUCCGCCAUCUUUUCGCUCUCCACAACCCCCCGCCCCUGAAGAAGCAGCCUUCUACAAACACAAAGAGAACACUUUUUCCCUACGAUCCUUUUGCUAAUAUCUCGGCCUUGGCAGAGGACUGCACUCUCGAGGGUAACGUUCUAGAUUUACCAAGGGGGGAUGUUGCAAAUAUGGUAAUUAUAAUGAUGUCAUUAUUCAGGGGCUUUCAACAUGCCCAAAACUGAUUUUUUUGUGUCUAUUUUUUUAAGGGUCCAACUACACAACCCCUGUAGAAUAGUAGCACCCCAUUCAAAGUUAGAAAAAUAAAUAGACACCACGAUUAACACAAAUGAACCCAUCCCCAAAAUUACGUUGGAAGUCGGCCAUUUUGAUUUGAACCUCCAUCUUGAGAUAUGCUUUGGCGAACUGCUACGAAAUUCUCCCAAAUGAGUCUCAAUCACAAGCAGGUAUCCACAACAAUUACUUGUGCAAUUACAGUGUGCCUUUGCACGCGAGUGAGCCCCGGGUGAAUUUUAUUUAUUUAUUU